rnacentral:rRNA from 1 species
UAAAGCUUGUCGUAGUCCGGAUCGGAGUCUGCAACUCGACUCCGUGAAGUCGGAAUCGCUAGUAAUCGCGAAUCAGAAUGUCGCGGUGAAUACGUUCCCGGGUCUUGUACACACCCCCUCACACCAUGGGAGUGGGUUCUACCAGAAGUGGCUAGUCUAGCCGCAAGGAGGACGGUCACCACGGUAGGAUUCAUGACUGGUGUGAAGUCG